GAAGAGAAGAGAAGAGAAGAGAAGAGAAGAGAAGAGAAGAGAAGAGAAGAGAAGAAAAAGAGAAUUCUGAAUGGAGAAGUAGGAGCUGUCUGGCAUGAGAAGGCUAGGAUCCCAGGACUGAAACACCAUCCUGGUCCAGGACCAGCUAGAGCAAACAGUAACUGAUCCAUUGAGGUUUGGUCUUUUGCUAUGUAGUGUAUUGUAAUGUUAACUACUGGCCCUCAGAGCCUGGUUGAUCCCAGGGAAUCCACACUAUACAAUGUGACCUUGCUCCUUAAUUUAAAACUUUUAGUUAAAUAAAGAUGCUAACAACUAAUAGUUGGACAGAUGAGACAUAGGUGGGGUUGUGGGGUUCCUGGGCUUGGACAGAGGGAGAAUCACAAGGAGGGAGCAAAAAGGUGGAGAGAGGAGGAAGCUGCCCCAGAGUAGUGAAUCUUAAAAAAACAUAGCCAUGAGAGCUAGCCAGUUGGAGUUAAGAGCUACCCAGAUGAAACAUGAAAAGCUACAACUUUAUAACUUGGGGUUGCUGAUGGGAAAGUAAAUUCUAAUUUGCAUAGAGGGUAGAUAUCUGCCCAGCUCUAGUACUGAUUGGGGCUUCUUAUAAAUGUAAAGGUUGUGUGUCUUUUAUCUGGGAACAGAAUAAUCAAUAGUGCGGUAGAAGCCCCUGAUUGAGAUUAAAUAUUAACGACAAUGCUAAUCACUAGGUCAGACUACAGAAGAUGAGUACUAGCAAACAAUUAGGAAGCUCACAAAGAAAGGCCAUGCCUGUCUGCCAAAAAAGAGACAUUUUGCUUAGUAGAAAGAUGUGUGUGUGUGUGUGUGUGUGUGUGUGUGUGUGUGUGUAUGCAUGUGUGUGUAAUUGCAUAUAUAUGUAGAUAUGUACAUGUGGAAGUAAUUCAAUACAUACAAAUAUUAUAUACCCUAUAUACAUGUAGGAUAUAUAUAUAAUAUAACAUAUAUUAUAUUAUAUUCCUUUCACCUUAGGAAUGCCUUUCCUGAUUUAAUUUCUGCUUUAUUUUACAGUGAAAUAGUGACUUUGGUAUAGGUAAGUUCCUUAUUAGAAUCUUGUGGGGAAUCCUUUAUUAGAAGCAGUGGUGUAGACAGACUUAGAUGUGUUUUGGGAAGCAAAGCUCUGAUCUAAAUGUUUAGUAGAUGAGGGAACUUCAAUAUUUAAUUUCUUCAGUCUAUUUUUAUAAAAUGGGAGUAGCAUUAUUGACCCAAUUGGAUCAAUGUAAUUCAAUGGGAUACUAUAAUUUAAGGGCCAUGAAUAGAUAGAUGUUCAGUUAACAUUGGUUAGUCCUGCUUCAGGAAGGGUGAAGCCCAAGAUGAUAAUGGAAUGUUUUCUGUGUCUGGCAGUCAGGCAAUAGAAGGUAAUAUUCCAUGGGCAGGGGCUGCAGACUAAGGGAGAGGAGGGGAGAUUUUCAGGCCACCAUUACUCAUGACUCUACCUACCUCAUACAGAGUAACAUAGCAACAGUAAGUUACUAUGCUGCUGUGAGCAUCCUAGCCCAGAUGGAAUAAUGACAGGAGUGAAAUCUGAGAGCUGCUGUGUGAGGGACACUUAAUGGAGGCUUUGCUCUAUGGAAUGAGCUGAGCUGGGGUACAUGGAGCACUUAGUGGAUAUUGGUUCAACUAAGAAUCCUGGUGAUGCAUGCCACCCUUGGCAGGCUUCCAGUUCUCAGUGGCUCAGAUCUAUUCUUCUUGAGAAGACCAAGGCCUGACUCUUCUGUGCCACAGUGUCCUCAUCUGUCUCCUGGCCUGGGGUGCCCUCUCCAGGUAGUGGUAUGAGAUAGGACAGAUAAGGGCAGCAAAAACUCGAGGAAGGUUCAGCCCACUGGGAGUAGUGAAACCUAGAUGCUUCAUUCAGUCCAGCCAUUAUAGAACCAGAUGGAUCCUCUCAAAAGAGCUAAAUGCCUCCAGCACAGAAGGCUGGGCCACGGCAGGUUUAUUACAUCACAGGCUGGAGAAAAUAAACUUUAACAUGGUUGCACUGGAAGAGGUGUGUACUUUUCAGAACAGCAAGAUUCUUGGUCUCCUGCAUCGUUCAAAAUGCAAUGGCAAUCCAGACAGAAAAGCACUAAAUAAAAUGGGUAAGCUGGAGAACGUCUCUUCUGGGCUUUCUAGCCCUGGGUUUUGUGGGUUUUGUCGUUGUUUGUUUGUUUGUUUGUUUCUCUUGGCAUUGCAAAUGGUGUUGCAUAGUGUAGAUAUGUCAUGGGUUGUAGGUGGCAGGUGCUACCUUAUAUUGUAUUCCAUAGUUUACAAUCCAAAGACAUUCCUUCAUCAAACACUCAAGUUAAUAUGCGAUAAUGUAUUUGCAAAGAUGCUCACAGAUUAUAUACUCAAGUGUGUGUGUGUGAAAGAGAGACAGAGAGAGACAGAGAGAGAGAGAGAGAGACAGAGAGAGAGAGACUGAGAGAGAGAGAGAGAGAGAGAGAGAGAGAGAGAGAUAUGCUUCUGUUAAUAAGAACAUCAGGUGCUUUGCCCUGAAACCUUGACCCGAGCUCAUGGUGACAUCUCUUAAAAUGUAGCAUUGCAUGAACUUGCUGUGUGCUAUCCAAUAAGCUAUCUUGUUGACUAAUAACUUGUAUUUUCAGCAGAGUGGCAAAUGUCUGCUGCCAUGAACGUCUGCCACAGUGCCCCAGCUGUGUGGCUUUACCUCAUAAAUAAAAAGUCCCCUAGGGUUUCUAAGCUCUAAAGAGUAGGGUCAAUGCAAGUAUAUUGAUAUAUACAAUUGCUUUGGCUUUUUUCAACACUUAAGUUUGUGUUUUGAAAAUAUAACCCAUGCCCUUUCAGAUUCUUUGUUGGUUAAGACUAGUAGAUGACCCAGGAUUUUAAAUGAAAAGCUUAUUUAAGUAUAAAUAGGGUACUCUGAAAAUAGAAAGUUAUAGUUUUCUUUAUCGUGCUCAUGUGCAGUAAAAUAAACCUACUGGCCUUCUAAGGGCACCAUCUCUUCUUUUUUUCCCCAAAGAAGUAAGAUGCAGAACAUUGCACACCUUUCAAAGGCAAUGGUCCCUCAUGGACUCAAAGAACUUCAGGAAUAGGACUGGACCUUAAAUGCCUCUUCCACCCCAUUUCCACUCAGAUAUCAGACUCCCCACUACAGAGAGAUGGUCAGGUGACCCAUGUCCAAAUGCAGCCAGUACAAAGCACAUCCCUCCCUUAGGCCCCAGCUUAAUUGUUAACAAGGCAAAGUAGUCAAGGGCUUUUCCUUGUGUCUAAAUCAUGCUUCUGGGCAUUUCUAUUCACUGUUCUUAUUGCCCAUCUCUGUAGGCAACCAGUGGAAUCCAUUUCCACAAGACAGAACUUCAGGUUUGUGGAGACAAACGGGUCUGCUCUCUCAAUUUGCACAUGCCCAUAUUUUCUUGUUCAUUAUGUGACAAAGAUCUGGGAUUCUUCCCCCUCCUGGGGAUACAUCCAAGCUGUCAAUCUUCUCUUUAACCCUGUUACUCAAAACUAAGGUAACUGGCUGAGUGUGUUCUGAUCAGCUUUCAACCUGCUUUGUGCCCAGUAAAGAAUUGAUUCACUUCAAGAUCACAGCGGCUUCUCUGUGGUGCCAAAUUUUAACAUUUUACCAGCCUAAGAGGUUAACCCAUCUUCCUGUUUGAUAGGUUGAUUUUUAUCAACCAAACACUGACUCUUUGUGUUAAAUGCUAUCCUCAAUGGUAUUUGUUUAUUUUAUAUUCAUUUUUCUCCUACCGUUACUUUUUGGAUUUUGAUUACCCACUCCGUUUCUUUUGCUUCCUCUACUCUAGUAAUUUGCUGAGGUUUGGUCUGUUGCUGUGUAUUGCAAUGCUAAAUCCUUUACCAGAAGGCCUAGGCCUACAAGUGAGUUCUCACUUUUAUAAGCUUUUGUUGUGCAAACCUUGUUCCUUAAUUUAAUACUAUUGGUUAGAUAAAAUUGGCUAUAGCCAAUUACUGGAGAGAUUAGAGGUAGGUGGGUUUUGAGUUACCUGGUAGGAGAUGUGGAGGAGAGCAAGAGAGAGAGAGAGAGAGAGAGAGAGAGAGAGAGAGAGAGAGAGAGAGAGAGAGACAGAGAGAGACAGACAGAGAGACAGACUGAGAGAGACAGAGACACAGAGACAGACAAAGAAAAAAGGGAGGAAAGAAGGCAGGAGGAGGAGAAGAAGAAAGAAGAGGAGAAGGAGGGAGCAGCCAUGAGGGAAGAUACCGUGAGCAUGUGGCCAGGAGAAACAACAAGUAUCUGGGGUACACUGGUGAGGAGGUAGCCAGGCCAACAGUUAGAAGAGUAGAAGCUAGUGGGGGUGGGGUGGGUAAGUUUAAGCUGGUUACACUACAGUAAUCAGCAUGGGUCCCUGUGGUAGUUGUUAUAACCUGAUCAGGUAUACUUACACACUUGUCUCUCUUGGAAGAUUUUGAUUCUGAUUUGCAUGUCUGGCUUGAAAACAGUAACAAGCACUUUAGAACUGACCUAAUGAGAUCAGCCAGUCCUUCAUACUGACUGACAGGCAUUCAUGAGAUUGCUUCUAAAUGAAGUUGUUAUGCCUACUUUCAUUGUAAGCAGACAAAUCUCUGUAGAAGGUCCACACUGGUGAGACUUUAUGGCGAUUUCAGUUAGUUUGCUAACUGGAAGGCAUCUGGGCCUAUAAGAGCCAAACACGUGGUUAUUUUAGAAUUUAACACAAUUAGCUGCUCAGAGAGGUGCCUUGACAUUUGAGAUGUUGUCACCUCCCAGCAGAUUUAAUGGGAACCAUUUGGGCAGGUUGCUGACACCUGGAGGCUUUUACAGAACACCUUCCUAAAAGCACUGCCCUGCAGAGCAAGAACACACCGCAUGCACAGUGGUUUAGCCUGGGAUCACAUAACAGAUGGGGACAGACGGUGCAUACUUUUUGAAGUAAGUGAGAAAGCUGAGCUAACAGCUCUGACCACAUUUUACCAAGAUGUAGCUGACGGCCAUGCGGUCAAAGAAACAGUCCAUUUUUAAAUGUUAUGAGUUACUGAUGCCAUCUGAAUGAAUGUUGUCACUCAGCUGGAGUCCACACUGCAUUGAGAUUUGGAAAAUAUCCAAUCAAUACAAUUGACUCAAGCAGUGUAGACAAAUCUGUCACAUAACCAAGCUUUGGCUGGGUAAUGGUACCAUCUCCACAAUCUGCCUUGACGGACAAUUCUUUGAUGUGAAAGGGGUUGAAUAGAACCAAGAAACCAAGUGUGCUCACCCUUGUUCGAUUUCUGAAUUAUCUUUGUAAAGGAAAUAUAUGGAAUAAAUGCUUCACAGGCUAACCAUUGUCUGGGGAAUCUUGAUGUUAGGUCUACAGAGAAUUUGAAGACAACCCAAUGUAUUGAUGUUUAAAACACUACUGUCCAUGUGGGACAUUGGAGACUAGUAUGAGUUCAUGAGAUAUAGAAAAACCAUGCAUUUAUUUACUCCCUGAGUGGUUAAAGAGAGAAGGCUGAGGCACCAAUUGGCAAAGAAUAAUAGUGGCGCACUCUUGGAAAUAAGACAGGCUCUGUCUACAUUCUUGAUAGUGGGGUUCAGCUUAAAUAAACUAUGAAAUACACAAUCAAAUUAAUGACUAAGGAUAUUUAAAAAUCCAUAAAGAUUCAGUCAAGCUAUUUAAAAGGCUGAGGAAUUAUUACUCGGGAAUUGGUCUGCUGAUAGGAGGAACACAUGAAAAUGUAGAUCUUAGAUUAUAUAUUUGCUAGAAAGACCAUGGGAGCUAAGAUUUCAAAAGUGAAAGAAUGUGUUUACAGUUCAAUCUUGGAUAUACCAAGUCAUCUCCUUUGCCUCUGCUUAAAAUGCUUAGGCAAAGAUCUCUACACCUGUCCAGAGCCCAUUACACUGUACAGCCAAAGCCCCUGUCCAUGAGCUACUCACACAAACUCAUAGUUUGGAGGGGGCUAAGGGAGUCAACUCCGUACCCCAAGGGUUAGAGUCAUUCUUGUAGAAAGUUACUCCUUAGGCCAAGUUUGUAGUCUUUAAGGAGGAGAGCUUGUGGCUCUCCCAGGAACCUACUUCAUUUAAUCUCUGCUACAUGAAGAAAGUAUGAACGCACUUUGGAAUCAUAAAUUUGGGAAAUUCCCUCUAGGUUUAUCAUUAUAGUUAUGGUUACUGAUUGAAUUUAUCAUGGAAACAAGAAGGAAAGAAAAUUACAGCCAAUUAAUAUAAAGGUCAACAGAAAUCUUAGAUUUAAAACUGUAAUGAUGGUCUUUUAUAAACUUAAUAUAAAGGAUUUCUUCUAACUUGAAUGGUAGAGUUUUAUAUUCUCUAAACAGUACUGUGAAUGAAAUAGAUUAUUUUUCCUAAGAUAAAGUUGAGGUAUGAAAGGUAUUAUUAUUUAAUUGUAAUUUAUUGAAUAUAUUUAUCUAGUAUUAAAAACAAAAAACAACCUGUAUACAUAUCCACAUACCCAUAUACAUCUCACGAAAAAUUCUACAAGUUUAGGAAAAAGGCCAUUAGUCCCAGGAGAUAAUAUGAUUUUUUUUUAAAUGCAUUUUAAUUUUUUCCCAUCAAGUUGCUACUUUGUCUGGCAAAUUCACCCUUAAGGCAACCCUGAGAGGGAGGUAUAUUCCAAUGCAAUUGGAGCCAUCUGAAACAGAGCUUCCCAUCUGAUAAUCUUGCUGUGUGUCUCCUGUCAGUAUUUCAUAGGCAAUGUCUGCUUUUCUGUAGCCUGUCUAGUAUUACCUACUGAUACAUUGAGCACAAGAGGGUGGUGUCCAAAGUGAUAAAGGCGACCCUUGUCCCACGGGUUAUUUCAAUUCCAGCCUCUAACCAAAGAAACUCACUGAACAACGAAGGCAGUUCUUCCUGUUUAUUACAUGGUUUGGCUAAGCUGCUAAGUGUCACAAAGGUAAGUUCAGGAAAGGGUAACAUGGUUGCAUGUCAAACACAAGGUACAGCAUUUUCCGAGGAAACGACAGCAGAAGGGCAUGGAAGCUUUCAAACUCGGUAGUUCAAUAACAUUUCAUUAGCUCUCAUCUCUACAGGUUUCUGCAGAUUGCCUUGAAUGAUGUAUUUCCUAAUAUAUUGCUGCUUAAACCAUUUUAAUACCAAACACUUCCCCCCCCCCCAAAGGAAAGACUAUACAUCCAAGCAACUCCAACUGCAAAUGGUAUGCAACCUUUAUAAAGAAAAUUCGACUUUAUAACAUUCAUAGUGUUUCAAAGAGUCCACAGGAGAAAAACAAAAGGAACUAAGUUCCUUGUCUGGCAAUAUGUAAAAACACCUCAAAAACACAUCACAGUAAAAUUAACUUCCAUAUUCUUUGCCUAUUAACCUUCUAAUAUUUACUACCCUGGCUUCAAAAAUAUUGUGUGGCCAUAUAUAAUACAAACACCUAGUGUUUCAUGCUUCACUUACGCCAUCUCAGAAUUUAUCCAUCACCUCUUAUUACAAUAAGAUACAUUUUUAAAGACAGCACAUGUCAUGCACCCUUAAAAUUAUAGUGAGGGUCUCAGAUUUUUCCCGUUUUUCCCUACACAUGUUACAAGCACAAGAUUACAAAUGUUUUUCAGCUGACAGUUUAAUAUGCUGUAUCAGGCAAUCGCUAUAAUGAAUUUGACAUAUCUCUGAUUUCCACACUAUUUCUCUGUGAGUUUGUUCAACCAAACAUGUCUGUCACUAACAUGCACAAUUAGAGGUGCUGGCAAGGCCAAUGCAGAUAGGCACAAAUGCACAAAUGUACACAGACAGUAAACUUCAGCCAAUAAGCAUUUUCAAGUGUGUAUACACUCAUGUAGACACACAUAAACACACACACAGCAAGUUGUAUUCAAAACAUUUUAACAGUUUAUAAGCAUAAAAAGAACACACAGCAUGGCCUUACAUGUUGUCUGGCUUCAUAACAAAACUUCAAAUCAAAUUUACUUUGAAUUUUUCUACUUUUAUUUCAGCAUAACACUCCAGUACCCACAAGUCUAGAAAUCAGUUUGUUUUGUGAAUAUUGAUUGAUAAUCAUCAAUACACACACAACAGGAAAAUGUCACCGCAUUCAAUCAGAUUACUGACUGAGCAUCAAGAAUUUACAAUAAAAACAUUAAUGAGUAUUUACAUUUAUCAAUCAAUGUAAGAUUGGAUUGCUGGGACUUCAGGGUUGGUUUUUUUUUUUUUUUCUGUUUGUCUGGAUUUCAAUUGGUCUUGGAUAGAUCAGUACAUGUGAAUAC